rnacentral:rRNA from 1 species
CCUGACCGAGCAACGCCGCGUGGAGGAGUGACGGCCGUUCGGGUUGUAAACGUCCUUUUGGGGGGAGUGACGCGGACAGUACCCUCCGAAGAAGCCCCGGCUAACUCUGUGCCAGCAGCCGCGGUAAGACAGAGGGGCAAGCGUUGUCCGGAAUUACUGGGCGUAAAGCGCACGCAGGCGGCCCGGCAAGUGGUGUGUGACAGCGAACGGCUUAACCGUCCGAGGCCAUGCCAGACUGCCGAGCUUGAGCCGUGCAGAGGCCAGUGGAAUUGCCGGUGUAGGAGUGACAUCCGUAGAGACCGGCAGGAACACCGAUGGGGAAGCCAGCUGGCUGGGCACGCGCUGACGCUCAGGUGCGAUAGCGUGGGGAGCAAACCGGAUUAGAUACCCGGGUAGUCCACGCCGUAAACGAUGGAUGCUCGUCCUGUGGGGGUCUUAACGCCCCUGCGGGGCUCAGCUAACGCGUAAGCAUCCCGCCUGGGAAGUACGAGCGCAAGCUUA